rnacentral:rRNA from 1 species
GACGAACGCUGGCGGCGCGCCUAACACAUGCAAGUCGAACGAGCGGGAGAGAGCUUGCUUUCUUGAGCGAGUGGCGAACGGGUGAGUAACGCGUGAGUAACCUGCCUCAAAGAGGGGGACAACAGUUGGAAACGACUGCUAAUACCGCAUAAGCCCACGACCCGGCAUCUGGUUGAGGGAAAAUGAGCAAUCCGCUUUGAGAUGGCCUCGCGUCCGAUUAGCUAGUUGGUGAGGUAACGGCCCACCAAGGCGACGAUCGGUAGCCGGACUGAGAGGUUGAACGGCCACAUUGGGACUGAGACCAGGCCCAGACUCCUACGGGAGGCAGCAGUGGGGAAUAUUGCACAAUGGGGGAAACCUGAUGCAGCGACGCCGCGUGGAGGAAGAAGGUCUUCGGAUUGUAAACUCCUGUUGUUGAGGAAGAUAAUGACGGUACUCAACAAGGAAGUGACGGCUAACUACGUG